rnacentral:rRNA from 1 species
AGCAGCCGCGGUAAUUCCAGCUCCAAUAGCGUAUAUUAAAGUUGUUGCAGUUAAAAAGCUCGUAGUUGAACUUCAGGCCUGUCCAGAUGGUCCGCCUUAAUUGGUGUGUACUGUCCUUGGGUGGGUCCUACCUUCUGGCGAAGCGGCAUGGCCUUAGUUGGUUGUGUCGGGGAACCAGGACUUUUACUGUGAAAAAAUUAGAGUGUUCAAAGCAGGCAAAUAUGCUCGAAUACAUUAGCAUGGAAUAAUGGAAUAGGACGAUGGUUCUAUUUUGUUGGUUCUAGGACCGUUGUAAUGAUUAAUAGGGAUAGUUGGGGGCAUUAGUAUUCAAUUGUCAGAGGUGAAAUUCUUGGAUUUUAUUGAAGACUAACUACUGCGAAAGCAUUUGCCAAGGAUGUUUUCAUUAAUCAAGAACGAAAGUUAGGGGAUCGAAGACGAUCAGAUACCGUCGUAGUCUUAACCAUAAACUAUGCCGACUAGGGAUCGGAUGAUGUUAAUUUUUAAUGACUCAUUCGGCGUA